CAAACGCGCACACGCACAAUCUGUGUCAGGCUCACAGUGGCUUUUAUCUCAAAGAAAUACAUGUAAUGAAUUAAGAGUAGCAUCUCCACGUGUUUCUCUUGAGAUCUGUGGCCCCACCCCAUGAAACAGUGCUGCCCACAAUUCGGGAGAAGAAGGUGAAGGUACGGGCAUGAAGAGGAAGAGUGUCUCUGAAUGGAUGGCCGAAAUGUCCUGGAAAAUAACCACAAAGCUUCCUGAGACAAAAAAGUAGAAGACUAAGAUUUGAAGAUGACCCCAAAUGGCAAACAUGGUGGACUAUUAUUCUGUGAAUAAAGUUACAUAGCACAGGCCAACCCUGUAGGACUCAGAGAAGACAGAGAAUUGCCCACAUCAGAACCCAGAUCUAGAAAAUAAGCAGAGAACCUUUGCUUCGUUGUCAAGAAUUUAUAAUAUACCCAGAGCUUAAGAAGGAGGCUGGCCAAGGCGAUUCUCUGAUAUCCAGUUCCAUUCUGCGCCUGGAAAAGUAAUCUAAACAGACAGCAUCACUUGCCUGUCUUUGUCAACUGAUCCUGGAAACCCUGGCAGGAGGCAGAAGAGUGAGAAGAUAGAGUGAUUGGGUCCUUUUCCCAACAUGCCUGCUUUGACCCAGCAUUUGCAGCAGCACCUGUGUCCUUCCUUGACUAUGGAUUUGGUCUAGCCAUUUUUUUCUUUCUUUCUUUUGCUGUUGUUGUUAUUUGGAUCAGGUGGAAUUAAGGAGCUGUCAUCCUGCAUGUGACAGAAGAUCCUAGGUCCCCAUGUCUUGAAUGUUUCAGUCCUGUCUCAUGAAGUUUCUGUCUCCUGCUCUAUGAGUGACGAAAUGGAGAGGUACAUCUUGUACAGAUAUUUGCCCUCUGGAAAGAAGUGACUGUAUAAGCCCCACAACAAAAAAGACUGGUGACCACACAUUUGGGACAGUCAGAAUAGACCUGCGUGAGGUUUGCUAAUUGAGAGAGGAGAGGAACACAAUUCAUUUCUGACUCGGUUAUCAAACUGUUCUUGUAAGUGACACGACUGAAACCACCUCUUGGCUUUGCAAACUGCUGAGUCCGGACUUCUGCAUCUCUGAAAGCUCAGCGAAUGGAUCUUCUCAGCAAAGAUUCAGAGGCUCUUUGGAUCGGAUUUGAAAGCCUUUCCCCUGAGGACUAGCAUUCAAAGAACUGUAAGGUACUACGCAAGUUUCCAAGAAAGGGAGGCAACCAAUGGUCAUACCCAGCUGUGAUGUCUAUGAUCCAUAACAGCCCCAGCAUGACAAGGCUUGGAUUCCUUACUUUCUGGAUCAAUUACAAUGCUCUGAGCAGCAGGGCUCGAAGGGCUCCAGUUUGCUGUUUGGAGAGCUAUAAAUUCUCAAAACCAAGUCAGGACAAUGCCACCCCUCAAACCCUCAACCGCGCUUUGCUGGCAGAACAGUGAACCAAGCUGGCUCUGCCCAAAAUUUCCUCCAUAUCUGCUUCACACGUUAAGGGAGGGUAUGGCUUUUCCUUGCCCUCUCACUGGACUUUUCAAGCUAGAAGUAAAUAUUAGACUCUUUAAAAGGACAAGUUAAGUGAAGUGGCGUCUAGUUGUUUGCGCAUCCAUCCAGCAGGUAGCGUAUUUGCUGCGCCAGUGUGUACCAAACUGAUUUCAAGCUGAAACGCCUCAGGAACAAAGCAGCUGAUGACCCAUCCUCAAAAGGUUCAUGGCCUGGCUGGCUGGAAAUAAAACUUUGGAAUUUCA